rnacentral:rRNA from 1 species
AUUGAACGCUGGCGGCAGGCCUAACACAUGCAAGUCGAGCGGAUGAAGGGAGCUUGCUCCUGGAUUCAGCGGCGGACGGGUGAGUAAUGCCUAGGAAUCUGCCUGGUAGUGGGGGAUAACGUCCGGAAACGGGCGCUAAUACCGCAUACGUCCUGAGGGAGAAAGUGGGGGAUCUUCGGACCUCACGCUAUCAGAUGAGCCUAGGUCGGAUUAGCUAGUUGGUGGGGUAAAGGCCUACCAAGGCGACGAUCCGUAACUGGUCUGAGAGGAUGAUCAGUCACACUGGAACUGAGACACGGUCCAGACUCCUACGGGAGGCAGCAGCGGGGAAUAUUGGACAAUGGGCGAAAGCCUGAUCCAGCCAUGCCGCGUGUGUGAAGAAGGUCUUCGGAUUGUAAAGCACUUUUAGUUGGGAGGAAGGGCAGUAAGUUAAUACCUUGCUGUUUUGACGUUACCAACAGAAUAAGCACCGGCUAACUUCGUG